UGUUCGUGAAUCUCUCAGCUUGUUCGUGUCAAAAUUUACGAUUGUUUUACCAAGCGGUUACUUUAUGGUGAUUAAAUAAAGGUGCAACGCGCGGUACUGGAAAGUGACGUCUUUGGCCUUAAUUGCGAUUUUUGGAGCCCAAUAUGACCUCUUUCAGGUUUGGGCCUUGCUUGAGAAGAGAUCAAAUUAUUCCAAGCUUCAAAAUGGCCUAUUAUAAGCCGGUUUUGGAGAAGAUUUGAGUCCAAAAUUGGCUGGACAAAUUUUGGGCUGAUUAUCCUAGUCAAUUUAGGAUUAUGUUUCCUAGUUUAUUUUAAUUUAUUUGGUUUCCUAGUUUUAUUCUAAGUCAUUUUCUAGGAAGGAUUUGAUAUUAUAUGUAGUAUAAAUAAGUCAUCAUGGCCGGCCCUAGUUAUUCUCUAUGCAAUUUUUGGAGAGAGGAUUUUAGUCAAAACUUAGAGAUUUCAAUACUUAUACUUCCAAGGUGUUUUCGUUCUCUUUCUAUUUCAAUAAAAUUCCAUUUGAUUUUAAUUAUGAAUAUGCAUAACUAAUCCUUUUUGCUAGGGUGAGACCACGAGCUUUAGUAAGAAUAUAUAGUCUCUUUUUAAUUUGCUUAUGAUAUUAUGCAUGCAAGUUUUGAAUUGUUAAUCACUGGUUUAAACUAUCUGAGUGUCUUAGUGAUUUGCGACCUUUAGGAUAUUUAGAAAAUUAAUUCGAUGCAAUUUGGCGGAGGGUUGUCCCUUAAAUUGACUAAGGCUUCUUGUGGUUAAUAUGUGUAACUUAACUUAGGAUAGACACCACGUCUUAAGGGUUGCAUGGUUUUUCAAAACGUUUUCACAAAACUUAAUGAGUCUUGCAUGUUUAGAUUUGAUUUAGACACUACAAACAGGUUACAUAUUUGAUAUACGCUCUAUGUUGGGGGUCCAAGUAGGCAUACAUUAGGAAAACCUAACCUUCAAAAUAUAAAUGUAUAAGUCAUAAGUAAUUGAAAGAUCCACAUAGGAUUGUUAAGGUGACGGCGGAACCCUGGUGCUUCCUCACUCUGAUUUCCAAAAACUGUUUUUUUCUUUUAAUAUUGUAGAUUUUUCUUAAUCUUUUUAAUUAAAUUCGUUUUUCAUAAUUUAGGUCAUUAAAUCACCUUUUUCCAAAACUUUGUUUUAAGUAAUUAGUUAAGAUUCGGUUUCACAUACAACAACAACAACAACAACAAAGCCUUUUCCCACUAAGUGGGGUCGGCUAUAUGAAUCCUAGAACGCCAUUGCGCUCGGUUUUGUGUCAUGUCCUCCAUUAGAUCCAAGUACUCUAAGCCUUUUCUUAGAGUCUCUUCCAAAGUUUUCCUAGGUCUUCCUCUACCCCUUCGGCCCUGGACCUCUGUCUCGUAGUCACAUCUUCGAACCGGAGCGUCAGUCGGCCUUCUUUGCACAUGUCCAAAUCACCGGAACCGAUUUU
rnacentral:lncRNA from 1 species